rnacentral:siRNA from 1 species
GGCCAACUCGUUUUUCAGGAAUGG